ACUGACAAAAAUAAUUAAUUAAUCAAGUUAAAAUAUUGACCGUAUAAAUAUAUGACAAUUGAGUCUAACUCAAUCCCUAAAAUUAGCUUAUGCAAUUUUUUUUAUCCAAAUCCAUGAAAAAAGACCAAUUUCUCACUGAUGUAAGACUUCUUAAAAAACUAAUAAUCUUUCAAAACAAGAAAAGUUCAUGUGAUAUACACGCUUUUAGAUCAAUUUCUCAUUCUGUUACCUUAAACUAUACUCGCUAUGUGUUAUAUGACGAAACAAGGAAAGUUGAUAUGAUAUACACACUUUUAGACCACUUGCUAACUCUAUAAUUUGGUACUCAAAUAAAUUUGUGCGAUCGAUCGAUUGGGACAAAGAAAGCAAUACUUUUCCGGAGAAACUUUUGACCAAAUAUAUUUAAAAUAAACAGAUUUUGAAAAUUUACAAAUUUAAAAAGAAAUUAUUCCUUGUUAAAUCAGCAAAAACGAAUGUAAGUUCUCAUGUAAUUGACUCCGCAGGAAAAUGAGGAAAAGAAUCUUAGGGCUGUAUUCGGAUUUCAGUACAUUGGAAAUCAUUGUAGAAAAUAUUUUCCAAUUUUUUCUCCAUCUUCCGCUGGUCAAAUUUUAGAAAAUUAUUUUCUCGAAGGAAACAAGAAGAAUUUAAAACAAGUUCCUUGCAAAACAGAAAAAAAAAAAACUGUCUCUAGCCAAUUUAAAAUUAAAAACAAAUUGCACAAGUAACAUGGAAUGAAAAAGAAAACGUAAUACAUAAAUAUAUCUCUUGAAUUAGCUUUAAACGGAUAAUUAUGACCUCUAACUUUGUGUUCGCACAAUGAAACAUUUAUGUCCUACACGCCCCGUAGGACUGGUAUCUCUCUACCUGUUCAAUUUUAUGAAAGCUUAAAUAUCUACUUAUACACACUCAAAACUGAAAGACAUAAUUGUUCAUCGAACCCAAGUUAGUUUAAGUAUUAUGCCCAAAAAUAAAAUAAAAAAAUCAAUGAUCCUACUUUCCCCCCAUAUCCACACCCACAAUCCACUAGCCCCAUCCCACCACUCCACACCUUCUACUACACCGACUUAUAUCUCUCAUGGUAUUUUAUUAAAAAAAGAAGAAGUAAGAAAUCAUUUAUUUAAAAAAAAAUAUUUUCUAAUACGUGUUGCUUUUUUCACUUUUUUUUUUAAAAAUAAAAUAAAAAUAAUCCGAUGUGAAUCAAUCUUCUGUAAAUACACCUCCUACCUGGUCUCUAAAUAAGAUAAUUUGAUAACCCGUUGUUAAUCCGCCCUAAUUCACUGUAAUUCCUGACAGAUUUUCUUAACGCCCAAUUUAAAUUACGAGAAAAUAAAACUCUCGAUCAAAAUCAAUUAACUAAGCAACUAAGAUUUCCGAAUAAGCCGUUGACCCGUAAAGAAACGGAAUUUAGGGUUAUUCAGUGCUGUGCAUUUACAGUGAAAAACGUCAUUAUAACAAUAGUGGGAGAGUACUAGUGACAGGUAAUGGUCGGGGUAACCCACCCACACUAAAUAAAUCAGUACUAAUCUUUAUUUGGUGUUCAUAUUUUCUUCCUAUAAAUAGGCCCCCCUCCAUAAAUUAUACAUAUAUAAAAUAAUCUCCCCCCAACCCUCUUUCUGCAUUAAACACCAACCACUCUAUAUUCAUUUUCUUCUUCUCUUCCGCUGUGUAUUAAUUUAACACUGUUUAUAGGGUAUUGAUUUGUGUAAAAUGUAGGGAGGAAAAAAAAAGAGGGGAAAAUGGAAUGGGUGAUAUUGUUGACAGAAGAUAGAGAGCACAUAUGAUGGAAUGCUGCUGCUGCUGCUGCUAAAUCUGGAGAGUCUUAACAAUAAAAAAAAGCAUUUCACUUCAUUUGUGCUCUCUAUGCUUCCGUCAUCCCUUUCAUCCUCUUCUCCUUCUAUUUUUCUCUUCUCUCUCCCUAAAUCUAUACAAUAACUCGUUCAAUUUUUAGGUUUUUCUUACUGGGGAAAUUUCUUCCAAUUUCUGUAAAAGGGAAGGUAGGGCACCUACCAUCAUUAUUCACCCAUAAUUAUCCCUUUUUUUUUCUUCUUCUUUUGAUGUGCAGGUUUCGUCAGAUGGAACAUCUGUACACUGUAUUAUUUUAUGUAUUAUGGGCCAACCAUUCUAUUGGAUGAGUUAAUCUGCUCAACUUCCAUCGACGAAUUGUCGGUUUGAACAUUGUUUUGAAUUUCUACAAGUAUAUGCUUUAACUUAAGCUUAGUUUCUGCAGCUGUGCUUGAAACACAUGAUUUGGAUCUCUCUCUCGACCUUACCUGAAGAGGUCAGGUUACAAUUUUACAAUAGGGAUAUUUGGACUUCAAUCAGUAAGCAAAUCAAAAAGUUGAGCUAUGAUAUUUUAGGUUCAUGAAAACUUGACCCCUAUGAAGAAUAUAUGGAAGAACCAAAAGAAACCAUCUUAGAUUAUUAGGCUUUAACAAGACUAAGAGAUAAGAUGAUACCUUGUGUAUUCUGUAGAAACUGGAGAAAUCAACAUCCAAGAAUGAUUGGACUAAUUAAGCACUUAGCUUCUCAUAUAAUCAAAGAAGAAUCUUUCAUUUA